rnacentral:rRNA from 1 species
UACGUAGGUGGCAAGCGUUGUCCGGAAUUACUGGGCGUAAAGGGCGUGUAGGCGGCCUUUUAAGUCAGACGUGAAAACCCUGGGCUUAACCCAGGAACUGCGUUUGAAACUGGAGGGCUUGAGGACCGGAGAGGGUAGUGGAAUUCCCAGUGUAGCGGUGAAAUGCGUAGAUAUUGGGAGGAACACCAGUGGCGAAGGCGACUGCCUGGACGGCACCUGACGCUGAGGCGCGAAAGCUAGGGGAGCAAACAGG